UUUACUAAAACUAUUUGAAAAUUUUUAUAGCUACAUUCCAAUUUGACUGUUCUUGAUUUGAUGGAUGACAUUGGAGGAAUUAAAUUUGCCUUCUCGGCAUACCAAAAUAGUAAUGAUAAGAGUGGAUUACUUCCUGGUAUAAACAAGAAUCAUGAUCAACUUUUCUUUAUAUCCUAUGCACAGUCUCUAUGUCAGAUAUCACAGCCAGGAAGAAUAGUGACGUGGAAUAAUCAAUAUUCAUUACCAAAUAGAUUAAGGUAAAUAAAACUAUUCACUUAAAAAUUAAAAAAUUGUUAAAG